ensembl:lncRNA
GUUCAUCCAACAGAGAGAACUGAAGAAACAUAAACCUGCAUCUCGUGACCUGCUGAACACAAACACACACUCCAGUCUUUUACUGCAGAUAUAAAUCCACACUCACACACAGCAGGGGCAGAAGAGGCUGAGACACAGGAGAGACGAGAGUGAGACACAGAAGGUUUCAGAUCAGAUCUCUGAAGCGGGAGGGGCAAGUUUUAACAUUAGAUUUAGCAUUAAAGCAGAGAGUGAACUCUGACCCCGCCGAGCUGCUGCUGGUGUUGAUGAAGAUGAAGAUGAAGAUGAUGUUGCUCUUCCUGUCUGUCCUGCUCUUCCUCUCUCAGUUCUCUGCCACUUUUCCUCUUAAAGGCUGCGUGUGUGAGCCUGUGGAGAACGCCGUCAACACCACACGACUCAUUAACACGCUGUGGAUCAUCAGGAACAAACCCACGUCCCCGGUAAAUCUGACAUGUGUCUGUUUGUGUGAGUGUCGGCGUGUCGUUCAGCUCAACAUCAACGAUUCAGCGAUUGAGGUGAAGGAGAGCGAGCGAGAGAUGCUGGAGGACGAGUGUGUGAAGCUGGUGAAGGAUCUCAGCACGAAGAAGGAAUCAGGAGACUUGUCUGUGUUGUCUGUUGCGACUCCGCUCGUAGGAGCUUCGGUCUUCAUCACUCUUCUUCUGCUCAGCUUCGCAAUGUUUAAAAGACAAGAGUCUCAGGCUGGAGGUGUUUUAGGCUCUCUUAUUCAUUAUCCAGCUCACUCUCUGGAGAGGACGACGAAUCCGGGAGCAUUUCUACCUCCAGAGACUAAAUUCCCCACUGACACGGUGAAGAUGUGAGAGUGAUAGUAUACUGUGUUAAACUAUAUUAUAUUAACUAUAUUAUAUGGUGCAGAUUACAACCUUUCUGUGUAAAAUAACAGUCUAUUACACUCCUACAGCAUUUACAGAGUGUCCAGAUGAGAGCUCGUCUUGUAGAAGGAAAGGAUUUUUACUGCAACACACACACACACAUACACACACACACACAUACACACAUACACACACACACAUACACACAUACACACAUACACACACACACACACACACACACACACACACUUCUUACAAGUGGCUCAAGAAUACACGGUGGUGUGUAACACUUUCUUGCUGCACUGAAAGUCGUACAGGACUCAAAACAGCUGAAAUGCAAACUGAGACUUCAUCAGUGUUUUUUACUAAGGCUCCAUCCCAGACAGACUCUGCUCUAACGAAACUUAUUUAGAACUGCAAGGGUCUUUGCUUCUUUUCUUUGUAGGGAAAAACUCUCUAUUUCUUAUCUUUUUCAUCAAUAAGUUGAAGUUGAACUUUUCAGACUUGCAGUGUUUAUUUGUCUUGUUAGCCAUACCGUGGUACAUCAGUAUAAUGCAUUUAUUACUUUUUCCCCUCUCUCAGACUCUCUGAUUGCCACAAAUGUACACAACAUGAUGUAAUGUCCUGCACUUGUAAGAUAAGAUCGGUGAAUCAUUAAAGCACAAAGAAGGCUUUAUAAACAUUAUAAGCAUGAAUGAAUGCUAAACUAUACUCUGUCUGUUUUGAUUCUGUUAAAAAUUAAUGCUAAUAAUACACAUCAUUCACUGUUUUUUUUCCUUGUUCAAAUUAUUUCAAAUGUAUUUUUUAUUUCCGUUUAAAACAAGUCUACACUAUAAUAUACUUAAUAUUUCUAAUAAAGCACUUUUCGAAAGAAACACUCAGAAUUUUUUUUUUAAACGAGUUAAUUUGGAGUAUUUCCAUAUUUAUUUGCAUAUUUUUGUAUUUUUACGACACUUGAAACAACACAGACUGAAAUCGAUGUCGAGUUCGAUGAUCAAUGAGGAACUGGUUUCUGUUCAACCCGGAAGAAUUAUCGGUUGCACAAUAUUACACAAGAUAAAAAAAAAUAUUGUUCUUUAAUGUGUACACUUUCCCCCCCGAUAAGUUGAAAAGUACAAAAUAAAC